rnacentral:rRNA from 1 species
UACGAAGGGGGCUAGCGUUGCUCGGAAUCACUGGGCGUAAAGGGUGCGUAGGCGGGUGUUUAAGUCAGGGGUGAAAUCCUGGAGCUCAACUCCAGAACUGCCUUUGAUACUGAAGAUCUUGAGUUCGGGAGAGGUGAGUGGAACUGCGAGUGUAGAGGUGAAAUUCGUAGAUAUUCGCAAGAACACCAGUGGCGAAGGCGGCUCACUGGCCCGGUACUGACGCUGAGGCACGAAAGCGUGGGGAGCAAACAGG